rnacentral:rRNA from 1 species
AUUAUACAAAGAGUAAUUAAACAGCCCAAAGGUCUAAUUUCCACCGCGCCGUACUCCCACACCCUCAACCAUAUACGUGAAAUCAUUAACCUAAAACACGGAUUACAUACCCGUCUAUUUAUGCCAUAAAUAAAUAAUUGAACAAUACGGAACAAAAGACUAAAAAUCAAAAAAUUUGGCGGGGUUUCAUCUAACCAUGGGAACCUGUCCCAUAAAUCGAUAAUCCACUAACAAUUUACCUUCUAUAGCCAAUGAACAUCCUGUGUACUGCCGUCACAAGCUAACCUUUAAAAGAAAGUUACCAAACAUACCCCAUAACUACAUCAGGUCAAAGUGCAGCCAAUAAGCAAGAUGAACGAUGGGUUACAACCUAUAUAUAGAUAACGCACCAGAGUUAAAAAAAUUCUAUAAAGGUGGACUUGGAUGUAAU